rnacentral:tRNA from 2 species
GCGGGUGUAGCUCAAUGGUAGAGCGGCUGCCUUCCAAGCAGCAUGCGAGGGUUCGAUUCCCUUCACCCGCU